rnacentral:misc_RNA from 1 species
ACUUUUGGUGCUUGUAUGCUUAUGGGAAUCCGACUUGAAUCAGGGAAGAUUUUAUCUGCACUAGCAACAUUCAGAAUACUUCAAGUGCCAAUUUAUAACCUUCCUGAUACAAUUUCUAUGAAGUUCAGACCAAGGUUUCCCUUGAUAGAAUUGCAUCUUUCCUUUGUCUUGAAGACCUGCAAUCUGAUGUUGUUGAGAAGCUUCCACGAUUUAGUUCCGACACAGG